rnacentral:tRNA from 1 species
GCACUCGUAGCUCAAUUGGAAGAGCGCUUCGCUUCGAACGAAGAGGUUUUGCAGGUUCAAGUCCUGCCGGGUGCACCA